rnacentral:rRNA from 1 species
GAAAACUCACCAGGUCAGGACACGGUAAGGAUUGACGGACUGAAGGCUCUUUCUCGAUUCCGUGGAAAGUGGUGCAUGGCCGUUUUGGUUGGUGGAUCGAUCCGUCUGGUUAAUUCCGUUAACGAACGAGACCUCGGCACUCCGAAUAGCGCGGCGGACGUCGCGGCCUCCGGGCCGUCUUCCGCACGAGCUUCUUAGAGGGACCGUCCCCCGCCGGGGAAGGAGGUGCGAGGCAACGACAGGUCUGUGAUGCCCUUAGAUGUUCUGGGCCGCACGCGCAUUACACUGACGCGUCCAACGGGUGACUCCCGACCCGAAGGGGCCGGGGAAUCCGCAAGGCGCGUCGUGAUGGGGAUUGAACGUUGCAAUUGUUGUUCACGAACGAGGAAUUCCUAGUAGGCGCGGGUCAUCAACCCGCGCCGAUUACGUCCCUGCCCUUUGUACACACCG